GACGAACGCUGGCGGCGUGCUUAACACAUGCAAGUCGAACGGAAAGGCCCUGCUUUUGUGGGGUGCUCGAGUGGCGAACGGGUGAGUAACACGUGAGUAACCUGCCCUUGACUUUGGGAUAACUUCAGGAAACUGGGGCUAAUACCGGAUAGGAGCUCCUGCUGCAUGGUGGGGGUUGGAAAGUUUCGGCGGUUGGGGAUGGACUCGCGGCUUAUCAGCUUGUUGGUGGGGUAGUGGCUUACCAAGGCUUUGACGGGUAGCCGGCCUGAGAGGGUGACCGGCCACAUGGGGCAUGAGAAAGGCCCAGCACUCCGCGGGGAGGAGGCAGGGGGAAUUAUGCAACAUGGGGGGGAGGCGGGAGCCAGAGCCGCCGGGGGGGGGAGACGGCCUUGGGGUUUUAAACCGGUUUUCGCUGGUGAGGAGGGGUGAGGGAGGUAAGGGGAAAAAGAGCCACGGUAAAACAAGGGG
rnacentral:rRNA from 1 species